AACGAACGCUGGCGGCAUGCCUAACACAUGCAAGUCGAACGAUACCUUCGGGUCUAGUGGCGCACGGGUGCGGAACGCGUGGGAACCUGCCCGUAGGUUCGGAAUAACUCCCCGAAAGGGGUGCUAAUACCGGAUAAUGUCUUCGGACCAAAGAUUUAUCGCCUUUGGAUGGGCCCGCGUUGGAUUAGCUAGUUGGUAGGGUAAAAGCCUACCAAGGCGACGAUCCAUAGCUGGUCUGAGAGGAUGACCAGCCACACUGGGACUGAGACACGGCCCAGACUCCUACGGGAGGGAGCAGUGGGGAAUAUUGGACAAUGGGCGAAAGCCUGAUCCAGCAAUGCCGCGUGAGUGAUGAAGGCCUUAGGGUUGUAAAGCUCUUUUACCCGGGAUGAUAAUGACAGUACCGGGAGAAUAAGCUCCGGCUAACUACGUG
rnacentral:rRNA from 1 species